UGGGGAGGAAACCAGUCACUGCACCCAUAGCCAAGGGCAGGCAGCAGAUCAGGAGCUUCUUGGAUCUAACGUUAGAGCCUGUCACCAAUUCUGCAGGAAAGGUAAUCAUGGGAGGACGGAAGGUGGCAAGAGAUGAAGAAAAUGCCUAUGGUUUCCAGGAGUUCAGGUCCGCCCUGCAGGAGCGCCGGCUGCGCCUCCUCCUGGCCGGGAGGGCGGGGACCGGGA
rnacentral:lncRNA from 1 species